GUAUAGACGUGUUUCAUAUUUUAACCUAAAAUUAAUGUAAUUUUUCUAUUUACAUUGUGUGUAAAGUGAAACUAAGGAUUUAUGCAGUUCAUACUGUCAAUCACCGCAGAUGACUACUACAGAGGUGGCGUCAGGGAUAUGUGGACUUAUAUUAAUGGUCCCGUUUCAAAGUGACAGAGAAAAUGGAAUGUACUUCAAAAAUGUCUAUAUCAGGGAUAGAUUAUUCAAAGAGUUUCUUAAUUGUUGUCUUCAUAGAAAGAACAUGCAGCAAUAACAAUGGUUAUGUAACUUAAUAUUUUUGUAAUAAAAUC